AAACCAACCGGGAUUGCCUUAGUAACGGCGAGUGAAGCGGCAAAAAGCUCAAAUUUGAAAUCUGGUACCUUCGGUGCCCUAGUUGUAAUUUGGAGAGGGCAACUUUGGGGCCGUUCCUUGUCUAUGUUCCUUGGAACAGGACGUCAUAGAGGGUGAGAAUCCCGUGUGGCGAGGAGUGCGGUUCUUUGUAAAGUGCCUUCGAAGAGUCGAGUUGUUUGGGAAUGCAGCUCUAAGUGGGUGGUAAAUUCCAUCUAAAGCUAAAUAUUGGCGAGAGACCGAUAGCGAACAAGUACAGUGAUGGAAAGAUGAAAAGAACUUUGAAAAGAGAGUGAAAAAGUACGUGAAAUUGUUGAAAGGGAAGGGCAUUUGAUCAGACAUGGUGUUUUGUGCCCUCUGCUCCUUGUGGGUAGGGGAAUCUCGCAUUUCACUGGGCCAGCAUCAGUUUUGGUGGCAGGAUAAAUCCAUAGGAAUGUAGCUUGCCUCGGUAAGUAUUAUAGCCUGUGGGAAUACUGCC
rnacentral:rRNA from 1 species